AGAGACGAGUCAGAGUUUGAUCCUGGCUCAGGACGAACGCUGGCGGCGUGCCUAAUACAUGCAAGUCGAACGCACUGACAGAGAAACUUGUUUCUCUUGACGUGAGUGGCGCACGGGUGAGUAACACGUGGGAAACCUACCCUUCAGCGGGGGAUAACCGUCGGAAACGAUGGCUAAUACCGCAUAGGUCUUUAACCGCCUGGUUGAAAGAGGAAAGACGGCUUCGGCUGUCACUGAAGGAUGGUCCCGCGGUGCAUUAGCUAGUUGGUAAGGUAACGGCUUACCAAGGCGAUGAUGCAUAGCCGACCUGAGAGGGUGAUCGGCCACAUUGGGACUGAGACACGGCCCAA
rnacentral:rRNA from 1 species